rnacentral:snoRNA from 1 species
GGGACCAAUGAUGAGGACACUGGGGGUCUCUGAAUCAACAGUCUUGAUUACACCCUAAAACUCUGAGGUCAGA